AACGAACGCUGGCGGCAUGCCUAACACAUGCAAGUCGAACGAGACCUUCGGGUCUAGUGGCGCACGGGUGCGUAACGCGUGGGAACCUGCCCUUAGGUUCGGAAUAACUCCCCGAAAGGGGUGCUAAUACCGGAUAAUGUCUUCGGACCAAAGAUUUAUCGCCUUUGGAUGGGCCCGCGUUGGAUUAGCUAGUUGGUAGGGUAAAAGCCUACCAAGGCGACGAUCCAUAGCUGGUCUGAGAGGAUGAUCAGCCACACUGAGACUGAGACACGGCCCAGACUCCUACGGGAGGCAGCAGUGGGGAAUAUUGGACAAUGGGCGAAAGCCUGAUCCAGCAAUGCCGCGUGAAUGAUGAAGGCCUUAAGGUUGUAAAGCUCUUUUACCCGGGAUGAUAAUGACAGUACCGGGAGAAUAAGCUCCGGCUAACUCCGUG
rnacentral:rRNA from 1 species